rnacentral:misc_RNA from 1 species
UUAACUAUUAUAUAGUGCUCAGACGACACUAAUAAACAGGGUUUUAGGUCCUCUGGCGGGCGCUUACCAGCCGGAGCCGGUAGCCAGGCAUGAGCCUGACGGCCCGCCAAAGCAACAAAGUAAUAAUAACAUAGGGUGGGAGAUCUACCCGUUAGGGCAUGAACUCUGUAAUGAUCCCUCCGCAGGUUCACCUACGGAGA